UUAAUUUGACUCAACACAGGAAGCCUUACCUGGCCUGGGCACAGAAAGGAUUGACAGAUUGAUAGCUGUUUCUCGAUUCUGUUCGUGGUGUUGCAUGGACGUUCUCAACUGAUGGUGUGAAUCCUCUUCCUCCAGUCAGGCAACUUAAGCGCCUAAAGUUUUUGUGAGAUGAGCUCAGCAUUCACUAAACGCCACACACAAUGGCUCGAGAAGAAGGAGGUUGAAUACUUAGACGCUGGUCAGGGAGGGAGUGCAGGUAAAUAUGAUUCUGUAACUUGAUGGUUCUGGCACUCACUGGGCUUUAAUAACUCUAAUUAUUUUAUACAGAAAGUGGGCUGCUUUAACAGGAGAGAUUGAGGGAGUAUCAGUCCACAAUAUCCCGUAGCUCAGGGCA
rnacentral:ncRNA from 1 species